GCGAUUUGCGUACAUGAGAAAGAAGUAGAAGAAGAAGACAAAGAAGAAGAAGAAAAGAAGAAGAAGAAGAAUGGCUUUAUUGUAAGACUUUAUUGUUUGACUUUAUUGUAUGACGCCUUUAGUCCGAGUCGUCGUCUCCGCUUCAGAAGGUGACGCCUCCUAGAUGUGGCGACGUAGCGCACCAGCCCCCCCCAUUCUGGCGCAAGAAUUCGGGUACCGCAGCCCAGCUCGCCCAUGUGUGAGACGUGGACGGCGAAAGGUCCGAUCCAGCUAGGGUAGCCUCCAGGAGGAGGCUCUCAUCGAAGCAUACAGAUAAUAGCGGGAGGGGGCCUGCUGAACGCUCAAUACCGUCAGCCUCUCCCCCUCCUCCUCUUCCUCUGGAUACGCCAGUGGUUCUACGUCGCCUCUUCACUGACCAUGGGCCCUUUCCGCUCUGAUCGACCGGAUCAAGUUCCGGGCCAGUGGGCCCUUUUCUGCGCCGUAGCCUUGGCAACGCAUCACGUGACACGUCGCGCCGAGCUCCACCGCCACCCCCGGCUUGGCGCAUGCGCUCUCCACAGCUGGGUCGCCGCCUGACUACGUGACUCGCCGCGCGCCUGGCUGAGGAGCGCCGCGCUUGCCUAGUCAGUGCGAGCUUGGCCAUGGAUGACAGCGAGACCGGGCCGUCUUCUCUGAGCGUUGCGCGGGAGCGGGAGGCUUUAAGCCGUCGUUGUCAAGCGGCGUUUGACUACCCCGCGGAUACCGCCCGGCAAGCAGCUUCACUGGAGAGGGUCCAGAAUGCAACAGGCGCCGCACCGUCAAGAUCAAUGUAGCGCCCGCAUUCUCGCCCUGUCCAUUUGUGCGUCGACGCUGCGCACGUUCGCGGCGUCUCUUUGCAUGUAUAGCACUUGCGCUUCCCUGUGGCACAACAGGCGUCGCACCGUCGAACGAUGCGCGUCUACCCAAGCCUAGUCACAGUCACGGCUAGCCACCGACCUGGCACAACCGUGAUGCCUGCCUGAACGAUGUCUGUAUGCCUAAGGAUAAUAACU